GGGCAUAUGGUGUAGGGGUUAUCACGUUCGCUUUGCAUUGGUUAUGCGAAAGGUCUCCGGUUCAAAUCCGGAUUUGUCCA